rnacentral:rRNA from 1 species
GUAGUCCACGCUGUAAACGAUGAAUACUAGGUGUAGGGGCCAUUACGGUUUCUGUGCCGCAGCAAACGCAAUAAGUAUUCCACCUGGGGAGUACGACCGCAAGGUUGAAACUCAAAGGAAUUGACGGAGACCCGCACAAGCAGUGGAGUAUGUGGUUUAAUUCGACGCAACGCGAAGAACCUUACCAAGGCUUGACAUAACGGUGAAUAUGAUGGAAACAUUAUAGUCCUUCGGGACACCGCUACAGGUGGUGCAUGGUUGUCGUCAGCUCGUGUCGUGAGAUGUUGGGUUAAGUCCCGCAACGAGCGCAACCCUUGUUAAUAGUUGCCAGCAUUAAGUUGGGCACUCUAUUGAGACUGCCGGUGAGAAAUCGGAGGAAGGUGGGGACGACGUCAAAUCAUCAUGCCCCUUAUGUCUUGGGCUACACACGUACUACAAUGGCUAUUACAGAAGGCAGCGAUGGCGCAAGCCGGAGCGAAUCCCCAAAGAUAGUCCCAGUUCGGAUUGUGGGCUGCAACCCGCCCAUAUGAAGUCGGAAUUGCUAGUAAUUGCAGGUCAGCAUACUGCAGUGAAUACGUUCCCGGGUCUUGUACACACCGCCCGUCAAACCAUGAGAGUCAGCAACACCCGAAGUCAGUAGCGUAACCGCAAGGAGCGCGCUGCCGAAGGUGGGGUUGAUGAUUGGGGUUA